CGCUCCGCGGAGGAACUCGAUCGUAAUAAGCUCGGCGGCGGCAGGGACGACCAGUCGCACCGUCUAGGGCUGACGAGACCGACGAUUGGCGGGCGGCGGGGAAGAAAUAAUCUUCCAAUAACGUCUCUGAUAGGAAGGAGAGGGGAGAGAGAGAGGGGGUUUCUUCUCCGAUUUCCAAUCGCGAGCAGAUGGCGUCAGCAAUUGGUCGUUUCUCUCCCUUUCUUCAUUUGUAUAAUUAAUUAUUCAAAAUUUAUUAAGGAUUUUCUAAUAUUUGGA
rnacentral:lncRNA from 1 species